rnacentral:rRNA from 1 species
AUACGUAGGGUGCAAGCGUUAAUCGGAAUUACUGGGCGUAAAGCGUGCGCAGGCGGUUUUGUAAGACAGAGGUGAAAUCCCCGGGCUCAAACUGGGAACUGCCUUUGUGACUGCAAGGCUAGAGUACGGCAGAGGGGGAUGGAAUUCCGCGUGGAGCAGUGAAAUGCGUAGAUAUGCGGAGGAACACCGAUGGCGAAGGCAAUCCCCUGGGCCUGUACUGACGCUCAUGCACGAAAGCGUGGGGAGCAAACAGAAUUAGAUACCCUGGUAGUCCACGCCCUAAACGAUGUCAACUGGUUGUUGGGUCUUCAUUGACUCAGUAACGAAGCUAACGCGUGAAGUUGACCGCCUAGGGAGUACGGCCGCAAGGUUGAAACUCAAAUGAAUUGACGGGG